rnacentral:other from 1 species
ACUUCCUAAGCCGGAACGAAAAGUCUCUUUGUAGCGAUACGCUGAAACUUUUGGCUUUGUGGUUGUGAUGUUGUGUUUGCAAGUUGUCUGGGCCAACCAGACUUUGUAGCUUAAGCUACUGUUUUUUUCACUUCCUGUACAUUUACCCUGUCUGUCCAUAGUGAUUUUUUUAAUGCACCGCAAUUGCGGUGCUUUUUUUC